UGAGUGCGUGCGUGCGGGUGUGCGUGUGUGUGUAUCUACAUAUAUGUGGCUUGGAGGUGAGAAGAGACUUUGGGACAGAGACUUGUCAGUCCAGCUGAACUCCACGGUAUUAUGGUCCCUUCUGUCUGGACUACAUUUCCCAAUGGCACCAGCGAGAGCUGGGCCGUCGCCCCUUUGUGUCCUCCGAGAACCCUGGCAACAGAGGAGCUUCUUUCCCGCCCCCACCCCUUCCUACCCCGAGGCUAGAUUCCAAUUUAAGGGCAGCGGGUGUGGCAGCCUGAGUGGAGGAGAUUCCAGAGGCUUCAGGGAAGAGGCGAGAUCUUUCUGCAGUUCCUUCUGCCUGUAGGGAGUGGUCAGCGUGUCUCCGAGACUCUGGUCUUUAGGUCCUCUGGGCGUCCCUGGGAGUAAGAGAGUAGUUGGUACAGUUUGAGACUGUCACCAGAUGUGAACUAUGCCUGGUCCCUUUCUCUUUCCCACUUGUUUACGGUCGUGGAGCCUCUUUGUGACCAAGAUGUGAGACCGUUGUUAGGGAUGCCAGCCUAUGGCACCAGAGCGUCUGAGACUUGGAGGUAUAGGAGAGGGCUAAACAUCUGAUACCGUGUACACCCACGGCCUUUAACUGUGGCACGUGUGCGACAGUGGCUGGCAAUAUGUUUGAGACUGUGAGGGUCCUGAAACUUGUCACCCAGUAUCUUUUCAGGCUAAGUGGUGACAGUAUGCUACGAGUUUCUGAAUCACUCUUCUGAUGGAGAGGAUGAUUAACGCUUAUUUAAUCUUAGUGACUUAUUUAUUCAAGGUGUAUCUUUAUCUAAACACCACGCAUCUCUUUAUCUGUAAGCUGUGUAAAUUUGCUGCCCAAGUAAUAAAUUGGAAAUGAACUUAGGCAUGGAUUAUAUCGUGUGCAAACAAAUCGCUACGUCUCCGUCUUGCUCUGUCUACUGAAGGGAAGGUUGGGGCCGGAGGAAGAAACAUAGAAUGGAGAUGGUGACCUUCAGAGAUGUGGCAAUAGACUUCUCCCAAGAGGAACGGGAUUGCCUGAAUCCUUCUCAAAGGCAUUUGUACAGUCAUGUGAUGUUGGAGAGCUAUAGAAUCUUGGUGUCUCUGGGUCCGCAGUUCCCUUCCAGUUUGGAAAUACUCUUUCCCUGAUUUGAUGAACUCCAGGCCCACACCGAGAGUCAACAGAAUCCAGGCUCAAAUCCUGACUCAUGUAGUGAAAUCCUAGAAAAGUUGCCUAAUCUCCAUUUUGUCAUACCUAGAAUAAUUCUCCUGAAGUACCUUGAACCUUGUAUGCUGUGAACUCAGUGCUGUUCGCUCCGGUUAGUGUUGGCAGUGUAUCCACAAAUGCCUGGUCUUUCUGUCAGUCAGUCCAUCCUCUUCUGCUCCUCCAAUCAAUACCAGCGUUACUAACUAGCACCUCCCACACCACUCCUUCCUGUCUCCUCACCCCAAGGUACCAUACAUGUGUUACAUGUGUGUACAGAAAACCACACUGUUGGUAGGCUAGCAGCAGAGACAGCUACAGACAGCAUGUAUGAAGCGAAAGUGUGCCGUGCUGGAAACCCAGAAACAGACAGAAUUCUGGGUAGUGGGAAGAUGGACGGUUUUUAAGGAAAGCAAAGGUGAGCAGCUAACGAACAACGGAGGAACAAAGGAGUAAAGCUUCCGGUGUGGUGACCUCGGAAACCCUGAGGAGGAACGAAGGACUGCUUUGUUGUUGUAAAUACCUUUCCCAACCCCAUAUCCCAAACUGCCUUAGCCAGGGUUAGGUUCACAUUCAGUUUUCUGAGAGGAAAUUUUCAUGGGCAACUGUUGUAGUAAACGAUGCUGAAUUAAACUUAGUGUGCUGCUAUUAAACAGAUCACUCACGUAAA
rnacentral:sRNA from 1 species